rnacentral:ncRNA from 2 species
AGUCUUAUAUGUGACUGGCGGAGCAUGGGGAUCCAUGAGGAAGCAUAUAAGUUAAAGCCGUACGCCUGGGCAGAGGUA